GUUCCAUAAGCUCAUCUCCUACCUACCCUAUAAAAAGAAGAGAGGCUUUCAUGAGGACAUUUUGAUGGUCAUGUAAGAUAGCAAAAGCUUUCUGGGAAAUGAUUUAUAAUGAGUUGGGGGAAAAAAAUGUUGAAGAUAACUUUUGUUUAAAAAACAACAACCCAGAAGCUUUUCUUUUAGGUAUAAUCGGUGGAGAGAUACCCAAAGAAAAGAAAAUAAUAAUUUGUGUACGCUACUACAGCUGCUUCAAUGAUUUAUGCCGAGAGAUGGAAAGAAGAAACAGUUCCAACGAAGGAGGAGUGGCAAUUAAAACUGAUGGAGUAUGCAGAAAUGGCGAAACUUACUGGAAGAAUAAGAAACCAAGGACUCAGAUACAUUA